AUUGAACGCUGGCGGCAGGCCUAACACAUGCAAGUCGAGCGAGCGGCGGACGGGAGAGUAAUGUAUGGGGACUGCCCGCUAGAGGGGGAUAACUACUGGAAACGGUAGCUAAUACCGCAUACUAUCGGAUAACCCAUAUGGGAUUAGCUAGUAGGUGAGGUAAUGGCUCACAUAGGCGACGAGCCCUAGCUGGUCUGAGAGGAUGAUCAGCCAACAUGGGACUUAGACACGGCCCAGCCUCCUCCGGAGGCAGCCGUGGCGAAUAUUGCACACUGGGCGCAAGCCUGAUGCAGCCAUGCCGCGUGUAUGAAGAAGGCCCUAGGGUUGUAAAGUACUUUCAGUCGGGAGGCGUUACCGUCAGAAGGAGCACCGGCUAACUCCGUGCCAGCAGCCGCGGUAAUUC
rnacentral:rRNA from 1 species